CAGAAUUACGUUACCUAUAUUGUAAUUUCAAAGGUUCGUUCGCAUUCCAUGUAGGUACUGUACAUUAUCAUCAAGAAUAAAAUGGACAUCCGUCACCUAUUCCGCGUUUCUGUCAUAUUUUUCUGUAUCAACUCCUUAACUUCCAGAUCAAUUCCAGGAAAGGGCGAUGGCCAAACAUCGCAACGUGAGCCUAGUGUCCCCGUUGGAAUUGAUGAGUUUGUGAAGGAGAUGGGCAUCAAUAAACCAUUCAACAGAUUAUCCAAGGCGGAUUUGAUCACCAUAUUUCGUCAACUUGAGAAAAAACAAUAUGCUAACGAAUCGGAAUCGGUUAGUUUGGCAUUAUCGAGUACUGAUAAAAAACGAGUACCUAUGGCAUCACUAGUUAUUUACAAUUUAGGCGACCUGACAAAAUUGAACUACCUACGAGAAAUGAACGAAUUGCAAGACAGAGUGAACGAGCUCAGAAACAAAGUAGCAAGAAUGAAAGCAAUAAUGUUGAGGAAGCCGCUGUUUGGUGGGGAUGCCAUACGGACCAAAAGGACUAAAACUUAAAUAGACCUAUUUAACUUCGCAAGAAAUUUACUCAACUCGAUGGUAUGAUUUGUCAACACAGCAUCGAAAAAAUAUCCUGAUAUUUUUAGGCCAAGCCCAGGCAAUUUUUGAUUUGUCUGCCUAUAGAGCAUACCCAUUCAGAUUAAACACAGUUCUCCGGUUUGCCAAUAUGGUCUACUCUGCGGCUAAUUUCUUGCGCACUAUAACUAAAAGGUGACCAUGAAAAUGUAUGUUGUACUUGUGUAUGGUAAUAAUGUAAAGAAUGAUUGCCAAUUAUACAUAGAAUGUAUGUAAUAAUUAAUGAAUUCAGACCCUACCAAAUUUGUUUAUCCAUGUGAUGUACAGUUUUUCAAAUAAGUACAAUGAUGUUGUUUUUGAUGAAGAUGAUAUUUUUUAGUAACUACCAAGACUAUGCAUU